GGACCCGUAGCUCAGCGGUAGAGCAUCUGAUUCCAGCUUCGUCUGAAAACAGCUUCCAGAAGGUCAUCCGUUCAAAUCGGGUCGGGUUCA
rnacentral:tRNA from 1 species